UCCACCUCCUACGGCAAGUCGGAGGCAGCAAGAUGGCGGCUGCUGAAGGAGGUUGCGGUGCUGGGGUCGAAGCGGACCGGGAAUUGGAGGAGCUUUUGGAAAGUGCUCUUGAUGAUUUUGAUAAAGCCAAACCCUCCCCAGCACCCUCUCCUACCAUCUCGACCCCCGAUGCUUCAGGGCCCCAGAAGAGAUCGCCAGGAGACACUGCCAAAGAUGCUCUCUUUGCCUCCCAAGAGAAAUUUUUCCAGGAACUGUUCGACAGUGAGCUGGCUUCCCAAGCGACCGCAGAGUUUGAGAAGGCAAUGAAGGAGCUGGCUGAGGAAGAGCCCCAUCUGGUGGAGCAGUUCCAGAAGCUCUCAGAGGCAGCUGGGAGAGUGGGCAGCGAUGCAAGUUCUCAACAAGAAUUUACUUCUUGCCUAAAGGAGACAUUAAGUGGGCUAGCCAAAAAUGCCACUGACCUUCAGAACGCAGGCAUGUCUGAAGAAGAACUGACGAAAGCCAUGGAAGGGCUGGGCAUGGAUGAAGGAGACGGGGAAGGGAACAUUCUCCCCAUCAUGCAGAGCCUCAUGCAGAACCUCUUGUCUAAGGAUGUGUUGUAUCCAUCCCUGAAGGAGAUCACCGAAAAGUAUCCAGAAUGGCUACAGAGUCACCAGGAGUCUAUUCCCCCAGAGCAAUUUGAGAAGUAUCAGCAGCAGCACAGUGUCAUGGGCAAAAUCUGCGAGCAGUUCGAGGCGGAGACGCCCACAGACAGCGAGGCUACUCACAGGGCUCGCUUUGAGGCGGUACUCGAUCUUAUGCAGCAGUUACAGGACUUGGGCCACCCUCCAAAAGAGCUGGCUGGGGAGAUGCCUCCUGGCCUCAACUUUGACCUGGAUGCCCUCAAUCUAUCGGGCCCACCAGGUGCUAAUGGCUUAACAGUGUCUGAUCAUGUGAAACACAACACGGUUUCCUCCCUGAGUCCCAGCCAUGGGGAACAUCUGGAAUCAACAGAGUCACUGGGAACUGAGGCAGGAAUAUCAUCCGUGGGAGCUGCUGCCCCACACUCUCUACAUCCCAUUCAAGACUGUGCCAUACCAGCUGAGGACCUGUUGUAGGCCUUUUCUAUGAGCCCUACUCCAUUAUGGUGUCUGCUGUUAGAAAUGGGCCAAUUAUUUGCUAGGUGAAGGAAGGCACCCCUUGUGGGGCAUUUUACUUCUUCCCACUCUCCAAAAUAAUGUUACAUGUGGUGGUACUCAUGUUCCCCUUGAUUCCCAGGGACUUUGUGCCUUGUUUCUACUCCCUCCCUUGUGUCUGGGAGCAAGAGCUAAGUCCUAAGACUGCGCUUCUCUUAGGCAGGGCCUCUGGGAAUGAGGAGAAAGGUAGCCUGGGUGGGGCUGGAGGCUUGUCACAGUAUCUCCUAGCCUUCUUUUGGAAUUCUCCAAAGGGAAAGGAAUUUUGCACUUAGUCAGCAGGUUGAAAGCAAAGCCUUGGGCAUUUCCUGUCCCUAGGUGCUUCGCCCUAAUUCCCCUUUCCUCCUGAGAGCUCAAGUUGCUACCCUGGUUCUUUCUACAACUCCAUGAUUUAGGGGACCCCGGCUCUUGACUUUGCUUUGCCCCGUGACUAUCCUUACCUCCUCUCUUUAGAGUCUUAUUUAUUCCGCUCUUUUUAACUAGGGCUGUGAUGGAUGGAGGCCAAUCUUGUUUCCUUUCAUCUAGUACCUGGACCAUUCUCACUAGACCCUUCUCUGCCUCUUUGGCCAACACAUACUUGUCAGAUCUGGUACAUGAAUGGCCAUUCUACCCAGAUAGAUUUUGGCUUAUUUAAGACAUCAGAUUCCCUAGAAUCCUUGGUUCAGGAAGGCGCUUGGGAAAGGGGUGUAGCCAGAUUCUUUUUUUUCCUGCAAGCCCCAUGGGGCAGUGUCCAAUAAAUAUUCUGAGCGAGCGUGUGGGCUAUUUUUCAUCCAGGUCUAUUCUACUCUUCCUCAGUUUGUGUAGGCUGCUAGGGAAGAGUGAGAGAUAACAGAAGAGUUGUGUGUGGUGGUGAUGUUAGGUCUGCCACGACCCAGCCCUCCCGCUCAGGUUGCACUUUCAGCAAAAGAAUACUGUCUUCAUCUCCUUGGUACUUCAGUCUUAACUCUUUACAAGAUAAUUGAUGCUAAUGAUAUACUGUUAACAUGUUUUCUAAAUUACCUAACUUUGAAUUGAGCUGCCUUUUCACAGUGGGGCUAAGGACCAUGGUUGCCAUGUAGUUUAUGGAUAUUCUUUUUAGGUCACCUAGCUCUCCUGGUUCACUUGGAAAAUAAUGUUUUAAAAAUAUAUUUUUUAUUUAUUUUAUUUUCGAGACUGUUUUUUUUUUCCAUUUUCAUUUUGCUUGAACAUAAGCAAGUCUCUUUUCCUAAAUACCAUUUGGAAUUUAAUACAUGUAUACAAUGUAUUCUGAUCAUAUCCACUCCUCUGGAAAAUAACCUUGGCAAGAAUGAAUUCACAUUUAUCAUUUGAGUCACUUUAAGCUCGUAACACAUCUUCCCUGGGUUAAAACCAUGUUUAAAGAUGCCACAUAUUCUAUGGAAGGAAAUGUGCUUGAGGCCUCAGGCUGGGAACUACCCCGCCAGCACAGUUCAUCAAACCGAAGUCUCAGGAUCUGAAUUUCAGAUUCCUCCAUCCUCUGAGAAAGGGGAAAAGUACCAGCUGACUUGUGAUGAUGAAUGGGGCCUGAAUUGCCAAUAUUGUAUUGAUGCUCCUGACAAAAACUUGACAAGGACAGGUGAGGAGACAGGAACAAGAAUGACCUGCCCUUGGAAUUGUGCUCUGUGCCAUGCUGGCUGUCCUUUAUUCUCAUUUCUGCUGGUGAUGCUGUGGUUGACAGGGAUUUUACUUUUGAGACUUUUCCAUUUUCAUUUUGCUUGAACAUAAGCAAGUCUCUUUUCCUAAAUACCAUUUGAAUUACUCUGGGACUUAACAGCUGAAUAAAACCUGGUGCUCUAGGCAGCCUUUCUCAACUUAUGUGUGGUAAAGGACCGGAGUUUUUAUCUUUAAACAUCUAGUGUAUGGACCUGUUGCCCAUGACAGGUAUGUAAUUGAGACUAUAUUACAACCUGUCAUGCAAAUUUGAAACCACCUAAACUGUCUAGACGCCAUUACAGGUGAAGUCCACUGGUCACAUAAAUUGAAUUUCACAGCAAUAUCAAAUACUAAAAUUUUUAGACAGUCUAUUUCUGAUUCCUAAUGUCACAAGUUGAUUCAGUGAUUAAAACCAAACCCCUUCAUGAACUAAUGCUGCUCUGGCUUUCCUUAGGCUCUCCAUAGGGCCUAGGCAAAUGUGUACUUACACUUGAAAUCUUCUCCCGUGUGUCUGUCACCUGUGGAGAAAAAAACAUGGUCUUUAACAAAACACCUGUUCAUAUAUGGUUAUCUAGCACUUUUUCUAGCUUGCUUCUCUUUCUUGAUAACUAGAAAUAAAUUGCAUAGCUAAACUUUAGUGAAGUGUCUAAGCUGUGCUCACAGUUUACAACAGCUGCCUUUCCAAAAUUCUGUGUGUUCUGGUAGAUGGUUUCAUGAAACAAACAAAUUCAUACAAGAUAUAUAAUGUUUUCAGAAACCCCAGAACAUCCUCUCAAUGCCCCAUAAGCUAAAACUAGGCCAUUGGUUUAUUAUUAAUCUGACUGUAUGUGUGUGGACUGGAGUUAAAGGUGGUUGUGAGUCACCAGAUGUGGAUGCUGGGAACUGAACUCUAGUUCACUAAAAGAGCAUAUAGCUCCUAGCCACUGAGCUUUCCUCUAGCCUGGUAUCACAUUGGUCGACAUGGCAGAUAAUACAGAGAUGUACAAGGAUGCAGGAAGGGGAAUGCAUUGUUUGCUAUAUAACUGAAACAACAACCAUAUUCCUUUGGAAAGCCAAGGCAGUAGGUACUUAACUGUCAGAAGCAGAUUGGUAGCUUUCCCACGGUAACAGCUUGAGUGGAAACUGCUAAUAGCACACAGGUACUCCUAGGAGCAGGACAGAUAGGCAGCCAAGAUCUGUAAAUAGGGCCUUCAAAAUUGAAGUCAAAAGUCCUAAGUUUUGGUCAGUGUCUGAAUCACAAAGAGUUCUAAGACAGACUAUCAAUUCAAAGAACUUGAUUCAGGAAAAAACAUUCAAAGGAGUUGAAAAACAGCAUUAGGAUUUUCUAGAGCAACAAAACCCAUAGAAUGAAUAUAUUAUAGCGGGUUUAUCAGGUGGCUUUUACAUGGCACCAUAGUAGGCCAGCAGUGACUGUUAACCUGAUGACGAGUCUAAGAACUAGGGAGUGUUCAGGUGAGGAGUCCAGACGCCUCAGCCCCAGAGUGGUGUUGGAGACCUACUUAGAAGGUUUCUGGAGAGCCAUGGUCUUAAGUGCAUGUUGGACACUGAAGGAGCUGGGCUCUGGUGGUAGCAACAACAGUGAACAGACAUCUGCAAGAGUCAGGACAGGCAGCCAAUACUGCUAGUGUGGAAGGCGCUGCUGACUGAGGAGGGAGGGCCUUCCUCUCUCAGGCACGAUUACUAACACACCACAAACAACCCCCAUGAAUGACCAUCGUCCGACCAGACCUUUGGGGCCCAGCAUUUAUAUAGCCUCUGAACAGUUGCCAGAGUUCCAAAUGUCCCACAUUCGCAGAAACAAUCUGCAGCUGGCAAAACCAUGCCUCUGCUAGAGCAUGAGGCACAUCACAGUCAGCUGCUGCAGUCAGUCCAAAGCAGCCCCACAUCCCCACACAUUAAAAUUAAAUUAAAACACAUUCUUUUAUUUUUGUACUUUUAAAGAAACCAAAAUUCCAAAUUGUCACUACCCAGACCUAAGCCCAGGGACAGUUGGCCAGUACAAAGUUAAUUCAAUGGUUUUCUUGUGGACUUUGUUUUGAUUUGUUUUGUUUUGCCUUUUGUUUUUGACUUAUGAUCUUUAGACGGUUUUGACUGUUUUUGUGGGGUUUGUGAGUUUCUUGCUCUUUUUGUUUUAGGGGGGAUAUAAAGUUGGGUGGGUAGGCAGGUGAGGAGGAUCUGGAGGAGUUGAGGGAAGGGAAACAUUAAAAUGUAUAAAAAUGUUAAUAAACACCUUAGGGGUUAGUGAAUACCAUGGCUUUCCAGAAACAGUUAGAUCCCAAGGAGCUGAUGUAAUCAAUGGAGCUUUCACUUAAUAUAUUCACAAUAUGAUGGUAUUAUUAGGGGUGACAAAAGGCUGGAGGGAGUGGGGCUUAGCCGGAGGCAGUAGUAGGUCACUACCUAUCCUUACAGCUAUAUAUCUACGUGGCCUCUCCCUUUAUUAUCUUGUUUCUCUGCUUGUUUGCCAAGAAACCAAGGACAGUCUCUACCCUGCCUCCUGCUGUACUGCUCUGCCCAAGCACAUGGAGCCAAGCAACCAAUGGACCAAAUCCUCUGAAAUCAUAAGCCAAAAUAAAUCUUUCCUUCCAACAAAAAAACAAACAACUUAGGUGACUAACCAAAUCCCCAUUUAACCAGCUGGUUAUUAUCACACCAACUAAGUCAUAAGGUUGGGUAGAUUGAAGUGUCCAUUUUAUUAGGUUGAUGUAAAAGAAAUUGUGACUUGGGGCUGUAAAUUUUAAAUCACUAUAGACUCAAACACAUUAACCAAAAUAGGAACCAUUGCAACCAACAUGUCUUCACCAAUAAGAAAUGAGAGUAUUUCUGUAGCAGAACUGAGUGUUUCCCCUUACAACUCCUGCGCCUUUUCUCCCACGUGUACCUCAGUAGGAUUGACUGUGUGUUUAAUUAAGACAACCCAACACAUCCUUGCUUUGUCCUCGUAUUGCACACUGUGCUCAGUCUGUUAGCAAGCUCACCUCUAUGCCACCUGAGAGCACCUCAGUGCAGCCACCUCUGUCACUUGUCCUGCAGUACUAGUUCUGCAGGUCUUUUACAAUCCCUUCCUAACUAACGAGUCUGCCAGCUUCUGUUUUACCUCCCUGAGGGCAGUUAAAGAAACCAGCUAUUGUGAACUUCUUCCGUUGUAAAUCAGGUCAUGCCACCUUUAUUCAGGAUCUUUUAUGACUCCCUAGCAUACACGUAGAAGAAAAUCAGUUCUCUUCUUGGUUCAUAAAUUUGUAAUCGAUCUGAACCUUCUUUUCUCCCACCAUCUGGCUUCCUCUAUAAGUACACUGGACCUUCAGGGUCUUUGCUGAUCCUUCUGGCUGGAACACUUUUUCCCAGUGCUCGAUAAUGCAAGACAUUCCAGGUGUGCCAGGACCAGCUUGUGACCCAGAAGUCACUCAAAGGCUGUAAAGCUCCUUCAGAAAAAUAACCCCAUGGAUGAGAGAAAACACCCCGGAUUUCUACAAGGAUUUCUUCAAGGUUAAAUUACUCUCAGAAAAAUCUCUUCAUUCUGAUGUCUACCCUAGAUAGUGAAAAAAAAAACUGUUUUAUUUUGCUGUCUACUCUGGAUAUAAUGAUUCUAUUAGAUUUUUCUGCUACAAAUAAAUAAGGUGCUCCAGCCUGCUAACUAGGAGUAA